rnacentral:rRNA from 1 species
UACGUAGGGGGCUAGCGUUGUCCGGAAUUAUUGGGCGUAAAGGGCGCGUAGGCGGUGCGGUAAGUCACCUGUGAAAUCUCCUGGCUCAACUGGGAGCUUGCAGGCGAAACUGCCGUGCUGGAGUGUGGGAGAGGUGCGUGGAAUUCCUGGUGUAGCGGUGAAAUGCGUAGAUAUCAGGAGGAACACCGGUGGCGAAGGCGGGUCUCUGGGCCGAUACUGACGCUGAGGAGCGAAAGCGUGGGGAGCGAACAGG